rnacentral:rRNA from 2 species
UGGCAGAGAGGUCACACCCGUUCCCAUACCGAACACGGAAGUUAAGCUCUCUAGCGCCGAUGGUAGUUGGGACCUUGUCCCUGUGAGAGUAGGACGUCGCCAAGCA